rnacentral:snoRNA from 1 species
UUAGUCCAUCUUGGCAAAGCUUGGAGCCUAGUCGGCAAUGUCUUGCUUUGAAUGCUAAUGGACUGAUAUCAAGUGGCUCUCUAACGAUUCUGGGCUUCAAUGAAAUGGGGCUCAGAUCAGUAGGGAUGAGACAUUGC